rnacentral:snRNA from 1 species
AGCCGCGCGGUAAGCACAUAGCGAACUAUUCUUUCGCCUUUUACUAAAGAAUACCGUGUGCUUGCCGCAUUCAAGCGGCAUACGCCUCUUUUUGGAGGGGUUUUUCCUAAUCGG